CCUCUGUCAAUUCCUUUGAGUUUCAACCUUGCGGUCGUACUUCCCAGGUGGAUUACUUAAUGCUUUCGCUCAGACGCAUACUGCGUAUCGCAUACGUCGAGUAAUCAUCGUUUAGGGCGUGGACUACCAGGGUAUCUAAUCCUGUUUGAUCCCCACGCUUUCGUGCCUCAGCGUCAAUAUAGGCGUAGUAAGCUGCCUUCGCAAUAGGCGUUCUAUGUCAUAUCUAUGCAUUUCACCGCUACAUGACAUAUUCCGCUUACCUCCACCAUAUUCAAGAUAGAUAGUAUCAAAGGCAGUUCUGGAGUUAAGCUCCAGGAUUUCACCUCUGACUUACCUACCCGCCUACGCACCCUUUAAACCCAGUGAAUCCGGAUAACGCUUGCACCCUCCGUAUUACCGCGGCGGCUGGCACA
rnacentral:rRNA from 1 species